rnacentral:rRNA from 1 species
CCCUUAGAUGUUCUGGGCCGCACGCGCGCUACACUGUUCGACGCAGCGAGUCUUAACCUUGACCGAAAGGUUUGGGUAAUCUUCAGCAAAGUCGAACGUGAUGGGGAUCGAUCAUUGCAAUUAUUGAUCGUGAACGAGGAAUUCCAAGUAAGCGCAGGUCACUAGCCUGCGUUGAUUAAGUCCCUGCCCUUUGUACACACCGCCCGUCGCUACUACCGAUGGAUGAUUUGGUGAGAUCGCCUAGACUGGCAGCUGGCUUCGGCCGUGCUGCCGGGAAGACGCUCAAACUUGGUCGUCUAGAGGAAGUAAAAGUCGUAACA